GGUUUCGUAGUGUAGCGGUCAAUACGUGCGCCUAACACGCGCAAGGCUUCAGUUCGAUCCUGGGCGGAAACA